GAUGAACGCUAGCGGCAGGCUUAACACAUGCAAGUCGAGGGGCAGCACGAUGUAGCAAUACAUUGGUGGCGACCGGCGCACGGGUGCGUAACACGUAUGGAACUUGCCCUUUACUGGAGGAUAGCCCGGAGAAAUCCGGAUUAAUACUCCAUAACAGUUGAGGUGGCAUCACCUUGGCUUGAAAGCUCCGGCGGUAAAGGAUGGCCAUGCGCACGAUUAGCUAGUUGGUGAGGUAAUGGCUCACCAAGGCUACGAUCGUUAGGGGGCCUGAGAGGGUUAUCCCCCACACUGGUACUGAGACACGGACCAGACUCCUACGGGAGGCAGCAGUGAGGAAUAUUGCGCAAUGGAGGCAACUCUGACGCAGCCAUG
rnacentral:rRNA from 1 species